rnacentral:lncRNA from 1 species
AUGGCAUUUCGCCCUGAAAAAAGAACCAUCGACUCAGUCUGUCAAGUCAGUUUGUAAACAAUGGCAGAAUAUUUAGCAUCGAUUUUCGGCACUGAGAAGGACAAAGUCAACUGCAGUUUCUACUUCAAGAUAGGAGCUUGUAGGCAUGGCGACCGUUGUUCCAGGAUCCACAACAAGCCAACAUUUAGUCAGCUAUGUAUGAUCACUCUGAGCCCAGGUUAUCAUACGUAUGCAGCAAACGCAACUCCAGUGUGUGCAUACAGUUGGUAGAUCGCAAGAUGGGUUAGUAUGCCUCUGUUAUUUGCACUUGUGUCCACCAGUUCAGUUUAACGUGAAGUCAUGAGUGCCAUUCCGUGACUCAUACGCAGUUGUGUGGUUGCCCUCUCUCUCUCUCUCUCUCCCUCUCUCUCUCUCUCUCUCUCUCUCUCUCUCUCUCUCUCUCUCUCU